UACAGAGGUCUCGAGCGUUAGGCGGAAUCACUGGGCUUAAAGCGUGUGUAGGCGGAUUGCUAAGUACCUUGUGAAAUCCCACGGCUUGACCGUGGAACUGCUUGGUAUACUGGCUGUCUUGAGCCACUUAGGGGCGACCGGAACAAACGGUGGAGCGGUGAAAUGCGUAGAUAUCGUAAGGAAGACCAGUGGUGAAGGCGGGUCUCUGGACAGUUCCUGACGCUGAGGCACGAAGGCCAGGGGAGCAAACGGG
rnacentral:rRNA from 1 species